GGAGAGGUACCGAAGUGGUCAUAACGGGGCCGACUCGAAAUCGGUUUGGGGGCGUCAAAGCUCCCACGUGGGUUCGAAUCCCACCCUCUCCG
rnacentral:tRNA from 1 species